rnacentral:rRNA from 1 species
CCUACGGGUGGCAGCAGUGAGGAAUAUUGGGCAAUGGGGGCAACCCUGACCCAGCCAUGCCGCGUGAGUGAAGAAGGUCUUCGGAUUGUAAAGCUCUUUCGGUCGUGACGAUGAUGACGGUAGCGUCUAAUGAAGCUCCGGCCAACUUCGAGCCAGCAGCCGCGGUAAUACGAAGGGUGCGAGCGUUGUUCGGAUUUACUGGGUGUAACGGGCGUGCAGCCGGGAAGACAAGUCAGCUGUGAAAUCCCGCGGCUCAACCUCGGAACUGCAUUUGAAACUGUUUUUCUUGAGUACCGGAGAGGUCAUCGGAAUUCCUUGUGUAGCGGUGAAAUGCGUAGAUAUAAGGAAGAACACCAGUGGCGAAGGCGGAUGACUGGACGGCAACUGACGGUGAGGCGCGAAAGCGUGGGGAGCAAACAGGAUUAGAUACCCGGGUAGUC